rnacentral:rRNA from 1 species
GAUCAUUACAAAUGUCUGGGAUGUCCAAUCGGGCCCCCAAGCAAACACAUCCAUGUGUACACUCCCAUGUUGCUUCCCCAGAUCAGUGGCCACUGCUGCCAGCCCACCCCCUCAAUUGGGGUCCUGGGUUGAGGUGUCUGGGGAAGGGCCCAAUAACAAACCUUUGAACCAAUUAGUUGUCUGAGUAGGCCACCCGCCGCAAUCUUUAAAACAUGUUAAAACUUUCAACAACGGAUCUCUUGGCUCUCGCAUCGAUGAAGAACGCAGCGAAAUGCGAUAAGUAAUGUGAAUUGCAGAAUUCAGUGAAUCAUCGAAUCUUUGAACGCACAUUGCGCCCUUUGGUAUUCCUUAGGGCAUGCCUGUUCGAGCGUCACUAAAAACCCCCUCACAGAUAAUGUGGUAUUGGUAGAAGUGAACGGUACUUACAUUACCUUGUCUCACUCUGCUGAAAUGAAUAGGCCAGAGAAGUGGACCCAUGGUAAUUGACUCCAGGAGUGUUUUUCAAUGCUAAACUAGUCUUUACCCAAGUCAAAUUCUGAGCUACCGGACCCC